rnacentral:rRNA from 1 species
AAUACAUGCAAGUCGAACGCGUUGGCCCAAUUGAUUGAUGGUGCUUGCACCUGAUUGAUUUUGGUCGCCAACGAGUGGCGGACGGGUGAGUAACACGUAGGUAACCUGCCCAGAAGCGGGGGACAACAUUUGGAAACAGAUGCUAAUACCGCAUAACAACGUUGUUCGCAUGAACAACGCUUAAAAGAUGGCUUCUCGCUAUCACUUCUGGAUGGACCUGCGGUGCAUUAGCUUGUUGGUGGGGUAAUGGCCUACCAAGGCGAUGAUGCAUAGCCGAGUUGAGAGACUGAUCGGCCACAAUGGGACUGAGACACGGCCCAUACUCCUACGGGAGGCAGCAGUAGGGAAUCUUCCACAAUGGGCGCAAGCCUGAUGGAGCAACACCGCGUGAGUGAAGAAGGGUUUCGGCUCGUAAAGCUCUGUUGUUAAAGAAGAACACGUAUGAGAGUAACUGUUCAUACGUUGACGGUAUUUAACCAGAAAGUCACGGCUAACUACGUGCCAGCAGCCGCGGUAAUACGUAGGUGGCAAGCGUUAUCCGGAUUUAUUGGGCGUAAAGAGAGUGCAGGCGGUUUUCUAAGUCUGAUGUGAAAGCCUUCGGCUUAACCGGAGAAGUGCAUCGGAAACUGGAUAACUUGAGUGCAGAAGAGGGUAGUGGAACUCCAUGUGUAGCGGUGGAAUGCGUAGAUAUAUGGAAGAACACCAGUGGCGAAGGCGGCUACCUGG